rnacentral:rRNA from 1 species
GACAGAGGUGCCGAGCGUUAGGCGGAAUCACUGGGCUUAAAGCGUGUGUAGGCGGGUCGUUAAGUGUCUUGUGAAAUCCCACCGCUCAACGGUGGAACCGCUGGGCAUACUGGCGAUCUUGAGCAGUCCAGGGGCGAGCGGAACAAGCGGUGGAGCGGUGAAAUGCGUAGAUAUCGCUUGGAACGCCGACGGUGAAAACAGCUCGCUGGGGACUCGCUGACGCUGAGGAGCGAAAGCCAGGGGAGCAAACGGG